rnacentral:rRNA from 1 species
AAGUUGGCCCAGGCCUGCCUUAAAGGCACUGGAUCCCAGUUGAUUUUGAAAGCUAAGCAGGGCUGGCUCUGGCUAGUGUUUGGAUGGGAGACCACCAAUGAAGCAGCUGUAGGUUUUAUUUC